CACGUAGGGGGCGAGCGUUGUCCGGAUUUAUUGGGCGUAAAGAGCUCGUAGGCGGCUCAGUAAGUCGGGUGUGAAACCUCCAGGCUCAACCUGGAGACGCCACCCGAUACUGCUGUGGCUAGAGUCCAGUAGGGGAGUGUGGAAUUCCCGGUGUAGCGGUGAAAUGCGCAGAUAUCGGGAGGAACACCAGCGGCGAAGGCGGCACUCUGGGCUGGUACUGACGCUGAGGAGCGAAAGCGUGGGUAGCAAACAGG
rnacentral:rRNA from 1 species